rnacentral:rRNA from 1 species
CCUACGGGAGGCAGCAGUGGGGAAUAUUGGACAAUGGGCGCAAGCCUGAUCCAGCCAUACCGCGUGUGUGAAGAAGGCCCUAGGGUUGUAAAGCACUUUAAGUUGGGAAGAAAAGUUAUUGGCUAAUACCCAAUGACCGUGACAUUACCUUCAGAAUAAGGACCGGCUAAUUCCGUGCCAGCAGCCGCGGUAAUACGGAAGGUCCAAGCGUUAAUCGGAAUUACUGGGCGUAAAGCGCGCGUAGGUGGUUUAUUAAGUUGGAUGUGAAAUCCCCGGGCUCAACCUGGGAACUGCAUCCAAAACUGAUUCACUAGAGUACGAUAGAGGGAGGUAGAAUUCACAGUGUAGCGGUGGAAUGCGUAGAUAUUGUGAAGAAUACCAAUGGCGAAGGCAGCCUCCUGGAUCUGUACUGACACUGAGGUGCGAAAGCGUGGGUAGCGAACAGGAUUAGAUACCCUGGUAGUCCACGCCGUAAACGAUGUCAACUAGCUGUUGGGGAACUAUGUUCUUCAGUGGCGCAGCUAACGUAGUAAGUUGACCGCCUGGGGAGUACGGCCGCAAGGCUAAAACUCAAAGGAAUUGACGGA